rnacentral:tRNA from 3 species
UCGGGAUAGCUCAGCCGGUAGAGCAGAGG